UACGUAGGGUGCGAGCGUUGUCCGGAAUUAUUGGGCGUAAAGGGCUUGUAGGCGGUUUGUCGCGUCUGCUGUGAAAAUCCGGGGCUCAACCCCGGACUUGCAGUGGGUACGGGCAGACUGGAGUGUGGUAGGGGAGACUGGAAUUCCUGGUGUAGCGGUGGAAUGCGCAGAUAUCAGGAGGAACUCCGAUGGCGAAGGCAGGUCUCUGGGCCACUACUGACGCUGAGGAGCGAAAGCAUGGGGAGCGAACAGG
rnacentral:rRNA from 1 species